GCUCUUCCAGAUCUAAGUUCAAAUCACCCUCAGCAUCAAUGUCUUUCAUAUUCCUAUUAGGAUGGC